GCCGAGGUGGCGAAAUUGGCAGACGCGCAAGGUUCAGGUCCUUGUGGGGGGUAACCCCCGUGGAGGUUCAAGUCCUCUCCUCGGCACCA
rnacentral:tRNA from 1 species